UUUGAUCAUGGCUCAGGAUGAACGCUAGCGACAGGCCUAACACAUGCAAGUCGAGGGAUAGUGUAGCAAUACACAAAACCGGCGCACGGGUGAGUAACGCGUAUGCAACCUACCUACAACAGGGGGAUAGCUUCCGGAAACGGAAAUUAACACCGCAWAAGACCACGGUACCGCAUGGUACAGUGUUAAAAAUUACGAUGGUUGUAGAUGGGCAUGCGUGACAUUAGAUAGUUGGUGAGGUAACGGCUCACCAAGUCGACGAUGUCUAGGGGUUCUGAGAGGAAGGUCCCCCACACUGGAACUGAGACACGGUCCAGACUCCUACGGGAGGCAGCAGUGAGGAAUAUUGGUCAAUGGACGCGAGUCUGAACCAGCCAUGUCGCGUGCAGGAUGACUGCCCUAUGGGUUGUAAACUGCUUUUGUACGGGAAGAAAACUAUCUACGUGUAGAUAAUUGCCGGUACCGUACGAAUAAGGAUCGGCUAACUCCGUGCCAGCAGCCGCGGUAAUACGGAGGAUCCGAGCGUUAUCCGGAUUUAUUGGGUUUAAAGGGUGCGUAGGCGGAAGAUUAAGUCAGUGGUGAAAGUUUGCAGCUUAACUGUAAAAUUGCCAUUGAUACUGGUUUUCUUGAGUACAGCUGAGGUAGGCGGAAUGUGGUGUGUAGCGGUGAAAUGCAUAGAUAUACCACAGAACACCGAUUGCGAAGGCAGCUUACUAAACUGUAACUGACGCUGAUGCACGAAAGCGUGGGGAUCAAACAGGAUUAGAUACCCUGGUAGUCCACGCUGUGAACGAUGAUCACUCGUUGUUUGCGAUAUACCGCAAGUGACCAAGCGAAAGCGAUAAGUGAUCCACCUGGGGAGUACGUUCGCARGAAUGAAACUCAAGGAUUUGA
rnacentral:rRNA from 1 species